rnacentral:snRNA from 1 species
UGUUCUUAUCAGUGUAAUUACUGGUAUUGGUUCAUCGAAUCAAUCAAUUAAUUACUCUUAUCUUUACAAUGCCCUCAGCCAUAACCUGGCUUGCCAGACUGGCUGAGACGAUGGCCUUGGGCUCACACUACUCCCUAGUGCUGUCA